CAGAUCAAAAGUCUCUGCUAAUAGUAGUUCGUGAGACAGUGUCUCAAGCAGGGUCUGACGAUGAAGAAGUAGAAAAACAGUUUCGCUCCUCAACAUGGAAAUGAUUGUCAUGGCAAAAACCUCAUAAUGCAGGCAAUAACUUUGUAAUGUAACAUAAGUGUCCAAUAAUAGAACUCAUGUAACAGUAUUCCUCAAUAUUGUAUAUCAUGGAAGCCUUUUGGAUCAAAUUCCCUUCAUUUGCCUGAAUUCAAGGUAUAUCUUCAACAUGUGAGCUCACAAGAUUGAAACCAUUUGCAACGGUAGUGCGUUUAUCUUGUCACGUCUGAAUGGUUCUGGACCUUCAGCACCUCGAUGGGGGUAAAUCUGGUGGGACUUGCCCACUUCAAGGAGUUAAUCAUGAGUGGUGCUAAGUGACGAUCUUCUUGGAAUCAGAAUAUCUCAUAGCAGAUGUAAGUCCUCAAAGAAACAUCCAGAGGGUAGCCAUGGCUAUCGAUCCUCCCUCCCAUUCCCCGUCCUGCAUAGGAAAUAUAAUAUGUAGGACCGCUAAAAAUGUUGCAAAGAGAUGGGAGUGGAGUGGGUAUUUGAAUAAAAGAAAAAUGAAAUUUAGUCUUGACCAGGCAACCAGUUUACUAACAUGUUUUGACCUGCAGGGCUCAUUCAGCAUUUAGCUGUCACAUUCGCUUGCUCAAACCUCUGAUUUCAGUUCUGUUUGUCCAUCUGCACCGUAGCAGUUGGGAGAAAGAAAGCUUCUUAUUUUCAAUGAUGAUCUGAACAUGGUAAAAGGAUAUUAUCUAACAAAUCCAGAUAUUUAUAUGGAAUUUCAUUAUGGUAUUUUUUUUACUACGCAAGGCCUACAUUAUAAUUAGUCAACGCAAUUCUGUACUUAGAGUUGAAUAUAAAGUUUUGUUGACCGUGAUAAUAUUUUCAUAAUUAAUUCUCCUGAAUAGUGCAAAGAAUGAAAAUAGGAAAAAUAUAUUCAUACAAAAAUAGAUUGUCUUGCAAAAUAAUUUACCAUGCUAAAAAGAUUCUUUUGCAAAUGAUUAAAUCAUUUUACUAUGUAUGGGAAAGCUGACUUCCACGGCGACAGAGUGUCAAACUUCUAGGGGCACAACAAAUGAACCUAUUGCUAGAACAAAAUGUGCAAGAAAGCAUAAAUUAUACCAGGAAUACAGUCCCAACCGAGUUCUUAAGCUAUUGCGAAUGAUACUGCACACUUAAUGUCAAAACUUCAAUUCAUCCUUCCACGAGUCCUUAUCAAGUAUGUAUGACAAACGCGGGCCAGGGUAAUAGUGAGUCUAUCCUAUACAUUAGCAGCAAUCCUCUCUUCAUCUUUUUUGGCUUUCUCUAUGUAGCUAAGCCUCAUUUUCAGUUUUGUAAGGUAAUGGGAACCCAAUGAACCACUCUCAGUUGAUGCUAAUAACUAGAUUCACUUGAUAUAACAAAAACUGGAGUACCUUCCUAUUGUCCUGAAAAUUCCCAUGGAUAGGUGCCACCUUGCCUUGUGGAAUCACCCAGACCUCAUCUGACCUUCCAGCCAUUAGAUGCUUAUCGUGACUAAGCUACUCAAGGUGAAAGGAGGGCUAUUAGCUGUGAAAAUGAUCCAUGGUUGGUCAAAUUGAAGUAUUUUGACAACAAAAUCAAUCUCACCAUCUCAAUUGCUCCUUAGAACAAGACCAGACCUUGAAUGAGCACCUCAGCCACAUCCAAAUCCUCCAGUUGUGGAUAGGCAAAACAACAGAGUUGCACUCACUCAUCCUUGGACAACAAACUAACAAUUUACAAAGAUAAUUCUUUAGUAGUCACUACUCAUUAAAGCAGAGUUUAAAGACCACAUUUAUAAACAGAGCCCAAUACAAACUACAGGCACAGAUAUCAGAACUCUUUGGUAUUACAGAUUAGUCCAAUACGAAAAAACUGAUCAGGCUAACUAUUCAAUUCCAAAUAUUUUCCAAGUUGAAAUGAUUAGAUUGGUUUCUGUUCCAUUAUAAGUUAGAUAUAUGAUGACAGAGAGGCUCUCUAUAGUUGUUAUCAUUAAUUGAUUCUCUUGUAUUUUCAAUGUAACAUUAGAUUCCGAUAAGUUCAAAUUAGUACAAGAACAACAAUAGGCUAACUGAAAAGUAUUUGAAGUCAUAAAGUGGACAAAAAGAGCAGACUUACCAGAUGAUUGGAUGGCUCAUCAAGCAAAACUAUGUGAGGCUUUUUCAAAGUUAUCUUGGCAAAUGCAACUCUGCCUUUCUGAGCACCUAUUUAUAUGGUCAAAGCACCAUGUUACAUGUGCAAUAACAUCCAAAAAGCCUCAGAGUAGUACAUAGUGAACUACACUUGAGAUUGCAAAUUGACUAACCUCUAUUAGGGCUUCACAAUGUCAUAAAACAAUUGCUUCAAAAAUAAUUUACAUAUGCAACGGUAGCGGAGAGGGAGGCAAUGUAUCAUAAAGGUAUACAUUGGUUGAAGUGCAAGAUGUCCAAUUACACCAAAGGAACACAAGUGAGCUCGAAGCUUUUCGAUCGAAAAUCCCUGCAAGAAGAAUGCUACAUAAGAAGGCAUUUGCAGAUAAAACGACAUGAUGUAUAACAAAAUCAUAUUCCGCGAUGGAGUAAAUGCAAACAACCAAUACUUUAAAGACCUGAAUAGAUUUGCCCCAGAGGUCACUGCUAAUAAUGCAAACACAAAGGCAGGCAACAUAUCGUUACAAUCUCAACCAAAUAAGCACGAGUAUAUAGGCUAAAAAUUUCUAGCAAGCUGUAAACACAAACAGAAUGGUGAUCUAUGGAAUAUCAAUGCUAUCAUGAUGGAGUUGUAUUAAAAGCUCGGAGCAAUAAGCUACCCCAGAAAUGUGUCCCAAAUAGAUUGCUUAAUACUACAAAGGAUCAUCAUAAAUAAAAAUAAAAAAAUAAAAAAGGGUUCUCGAUUCUAAAGAAAACCAUUGAAAAAAAAAACAAUGAAUGAGCUAGGACACAAGAAAAAGAUGGUGGGAAGAGAACAUACAAGAAACGCUGAAAAUGCAAAGACAUAUGAUUGUGGAAUGCUAUAAUUCUUCGUGAUAGUGCAUCUUUCUUCACAGUUUGUUUAAGCAUCAAGUAGAGUUGAAGGUAUGCCAUCAAUAUAGCAAGAGGCAGCACUGAGUGAAUUUCGACCUAAAGUUUAUUGUCCAACGAAACAGAGCUGAUCCAACCCAACAAGAAAUCCCGCUCAAAUGUCAGUCUUUGACUUUCAGUGGUAGAGCUUGCCUACAUCCUAAGAAUGGGUUUUGUCGGCCAUGAUAAUAUUUUCAUAAUUAAUUCUCCAAAAUAGUGCCAAAUAGUGAAAAUGGGGAAAAUAUAUUGAUAUAGCUUUCUCACAAAAUAGAUUUGUCUUACAAAAUAAUUUACUGUGCUAAAAUAUUCUUUUGCAAAUGAUUAAAUCUUUUUAGUGUGCAUGAGAAAACUGACUUCGGUGGCAAUAGAGUGUCAAACUUCCAGGGGCACAGCAAAUGAACCUAUUGCUAUAACAAAAUGUGCAAAGAAUCAUAAAUUAUACCAAGAUUACAAUCACAACUCAGUUCUUAAGCUAUUGCAAAUGAUACUGUAUGCUGUCAAAAACUUAGACUCAUCGUUCCACAAGCCCUUGUCAAGUAUAAAUGACAAAUGAGGGCUGGUGUAAUUGUGAGUCCGUCCUGUAUAUCAGCAGCAAUCCUCUCUUCAUCCUUUUUUGCUUUCUCUAUGUAGCUAAGCCUCAUUUUUUGUUUUGUGAGGUAAUGUGAACCCACUGAACCACUCUUAGUCGAUGGCAAUAACUAGAUUCACCUGAUUCAAUAAAAAUAGGAGUACAUUCCUAUAGUCCUAGAAAUUCCCAUGGAGAGGUGCCACCUUGCCUUGUGAAACCACCCAGACCUCAUCCAAGCUUCUAGCUAUUAGAUGCUCAUCAUGACCAACCUGAAAAUCAAGGUGAAAAGAGGGCUAUUAGCUGUGAAAUGAUCCAUCAUUGGUCAAAUUGAGGUAUUUUGACAAGGAAAUCAAUCUCACCAUCAGAAUUAAUCCUUGGAACAAGACCAGACCUUGAAUGAGCGCCUCAGCCACAUCCAAAUCCUACAGGUGUGGAUAGGGAAAAAAAAAACAAAAACACUAAUCAUUAGACAAGAAACUAACAAUUUACAAAGAUAAUUCUUUAGUCACUGGUCAUUAAAGCAAAACUUAAAGACCAGAUUUACAAACAAAAAGGGGUCCACAUAUUUGUAUGUAAAGCCCAAUACUGCCUAUAGGCAUAAAGAUCAGUACCAUUUGGUAUUGUAGAUUGCUCUCUUCUGAAUAUUUUCCACAUUGGAACAAUUAGAUUGGUGUCUGUUCCAUUAUUUGCUAGAUGUAUGAUGACGAGGGUUACCAGCAGCUAUGACCACCAUUUGGUUCUACUAUAUUUUUAAUGUAAAAACCAUAUUCCGACAAGUUCAAUUAGUGCAAGAACAAUAACAAGCUAACUGAAAAAGUAAUCAAAGUCAUAAAAUGGAGAAAUAUGAGUAGAACUUACCAAAUGAUAGGAUGGGUCGUCAAGCAAAACUAUGUGAGGUUGCUUGAAAGUUAUCUUGGCAAAUGCAACUUUGCUUUUCUAACCACCUAUUUAUGUGGUCAAAGCACCAUGUUAUAUGUGCAAUAACAUCCAAAAAGCCUUGGAGAAAGUACACGGUGAACCACAAUUCAGAUUACAAAUUAUCUAACUUUUAACAGAGCUUCACAAUGUCAUAAGAACAUUGCUUCAACAAAAAAUUUAUACAUGCAAUACUAGCACAGAGAGAGGAGAUAUACCAGGCAAGAUACAAAUUGGUUGAAUCACAAGAUUUCCAGUUACUCCAAAGGAACCCAUGUCAGCUCGAACAUUUUGUUAUGGAACUCCUUUUGGGAAGAAUGCCACAUGGUCACCGCUGAUGAUGGAAACCCGAAGGUAGGCAGCCUAUCAUAACAAUCUCAACCCAACAAGCAUAAGUAUAUUUGCUAAAAAUUUCUAGCAAGCUGUGAGCAAUAGUUCCUAAACCACCAGAAUUCGAGACCCAACCAGAAAGCGAUUUAUGGAAUAUCAAUGCUGUCACGUGAAAGCUUGGAGCCAUGAGCUGCCUCGGAAUUUUAUCCCAGAUUGACUAUUUAAUACUACAAAGAAUCAUCAUAAAAAAGGAAGAAGAAGGUUCCUAUUCUUAAGAAAUCCAUAAAAUGAAAAAACCGCAUCCAUUUUCUUCACAAUCACAUCAUAGCUUCCACAAAAUUAAUCAUCCUUUUAGAUUUUGAAAAAGAUUUGUUCUUAUUUAGAUCAUAUUCACCAGAAGGAAAAUUCAGAACAUAGCAGUGCAAUAAAUAUAUUUAAUUGCUUCUUCCUUUAUUGAUAAAUUGCAAAAGAAAAAAAAAUGAAGCAAGACAAUGACACCAACAGCAUUAGCCCUACCUUAGCAGCGUUCGCACGUGAUCAUUCCAAGAGAUUCUGCCAAUGCAAGAUCAAAAUGGUAUCUGCAAAACAACCAGAGUGAAUGAGCUUAAGGGCCCAAGAAAAAAUAUGUUGGGAAGAGAACAGACAAUAGACGCUGAAAAUGCAGAGGACUAUGAUUGUGGAAUGCUACGAUUCUUCGUGACGGUGCGAUUUCAUUCACAAAUGGUUUGGGCAUCGAGCAGAAAUGAGGAUAUGUCGUCAACAUAGCAAGAGGCAGCACUGCGAGCGUUUCAUCCUACAGUUCAUCGUCCAACGAAACAGAGCCAAUCCAACCCAACGCAAUCCCCCACCCAAACAUCAAUUCGUAUUGAGCAUCGAAUUGAGAAAGUAGAAUGGAAAAGGAUGCCUUCAAAACCAAAAAUAACUUACUCGAACCCUAAGAAAACUCACUGUAGUGUAGAUGCACGAAUCAAUUCAUUGGAUCCGUUUUUUAUCAAUGCUGAUGUAAGGGAUCUCUUCGAUGAGGGGCCAAUAGUCGCCAGUGAGUUUUGCGCAUCGAUCUUUCAGAAUCUCGCAUCCAAAUAUCCACAAUUGUUGGAGAGAGGGAGGGAAGCCAUCCUCUGGCAAGUACCUCAACUUGGGGCACUCUCUAAUAAAAAACCAUUGAAGAGAGGAGAGAUGGUUGCGGAGACCGCUCGAUAGUCUUUCUGUGUUUCUCAAAUGAUUUAUUGAAAGAGAGGUUAGAGAGGAAGGAAAGAGACUCCAAGCAUCCUUAUCCUCCGAAGGAAACCACUCCUUCUCUCUCUCCCCUCCCAUGUUAAAAUCAAUGGUCAGACUCUCGAGAGAUGUGAGCAGGUGUAAGCCCCACUCUCUCACUGGCUGCUUCAGAUCCACGAGCCCCAUAAUUCCAAGGACUCGCAAUUUGGGAGGCAGACCUCCUUUUGGGAAGCAUUUGAUAUUUUGGCAAUAUAAAAUUAUUAGCUUUUGGAGGGAGGUAAGAUGAUGCCACUUAUUUGGCAGGGACUUUAUCAUCGGACAAUCCCAAACUUCAAGACUCUGCAGGGUGAUGGGAAGGGGUGGGAAGUCCUCUAUCUCCAAUACCGGACACUGCUCUAUUUUCAAUUUAGUGAGAUUAUUACACUUGGCAAUGUUACAGUUGGCAAUAGACUUUAUCUUAGAACAAUUACUAAGAUCAAGACUCGAGAGGGUGACGGGAAGGGGAGGGAAGUCCUCUAUCUCCAGUGCUGGACAAUUAUAAAUAUCCAAUUGAGUGAGAUGGGAGAGCGUGUGAAGGCACUGUGGUAAGCUUCCCAGAUUUUGACAAUUGUUAAUUGUCAUUGUUUCAAGCGAUUCUACGGCAAUCCCUUCCAAUGACUCCACUCCCUCACAAUUGUCUAUAUGAAGUGCCUUCAGAGGAGCAAGUCUACCCUUGGCAAAUGAAAAGGAUAUCGAAGAAUCAUAGUGAUGUAUCUUAAGAGAUUCAAGUUGAGAAAUCGAAUUAUCGCUGCUCGAGUCACCUUGAGGAAUGUUUAGAGCCAUGAUUUUUGGACAAUUUUCAAUCACCAAAUGUUUGAGUGCGUGCAUCUUGCUUGGAAGAUUUUCUAAACUUGUGCAAUCCACCAAUUCCAUCCUUUCAAGAUUACAAGGUAGCUCUAUCUCUCUGUCUCCUACCACAAAAGAUAUGAAUUGAGGACAAUUCUUUAUUACUAAUUCUUGGAGGCAAGUGAGAUUUUGCGUUUCAUUUCCAUCUUGCCACAAGCAUGUUAGCUUGUCACACAGUCCUAAAUGAAGCUUCCUUAGCUUGCCCAAGCAACUCAUAAACCGAUGAUCAAAGGAAACAAGCUCUAUGAGUUUGUCAAUUUUGAGAACUGUCAAAGAAGUUAGCUUGAACAAGCUCUUUAAGAUCUCCUUACUGCACUCCUCAAGGUAUAACUCAUCGAGAGAUGGAAGACAUAACUCACUGGUUGAGUUAUUCAAUUGUUGGCAUGAAUGAAUUUCAAGCUUUAUAAGACGAUUAAGUUGACAAGGCAAUGUCCCGACCAACGAAGGACAGCUUCGAACAACAAGAUGCUCAAGACAGGAGAAUGAGACUUCUUCUUUUGGGCCCCCUGCAUAAGGAGACCAAUCCUUCCAUGCCAACAUCUCUUCGAAUUGCAAAGUAAUUAAGGACGAAAAAGGCCUAUCACCUCCGUAAAAAUUAGAGCCUAUUAUUCUUACUGCAUUUAGACCUUUAAGAGAUAAUUCUCUCAAUGAAGGUAGUUGUCCAAGUGAAGGCAACGAUGUGACAUAAGGACAGUCCCACAAGCUCAAAGACACUAUUCGAGAAUAUGAUGAACCAUCUAACCAUGACGGGAAUAUUGCACCGCCGUAGUUCAAAAUAGUGAGAUUUUCAAUAUGAAUGGGAGGUCGCAAAGACUCAAGCACCUGUGAUUCGUGCUUAUCAUUCCGAAGAAUUCCAAAAUCUUCAUCCCAGUGCAAGGAUAAUUUUCUUAGGCCUUUCUUUCCUAACAAGUUAGCAUCAACAGCAUCUCUAACAUCUUCCACCUUUUGUAAUUUUGAUAUGAAUAAUUCUCCUUGAAGAUGCGAUAGGGUCUUUAACUCCUUUAAUUGUAACCCUUUCUUUGUUCCUACCAUAAACUUGGAUAAUAUAGUAAGAUUCUUCAAAUUACUGAUACCCAGUGGCAUCUCUUUUAGACUUUUUGUAUCUCUAACAUCAAGAAACUGUAAGCUGACCAACUUUGUGAUACUGUUAGGCAACUUUGAAAGUUUAUGACAAUCUCUUAAGAUCAAAGCUUGUAAUUUGCACAAGUUGCCAAUAGUCUCAGGUAGCAUUUCGAUGUAAGUGUUCGAGAAAUUGAGAUAUCGAAGAUGUUUUAAUUCACCAACACAAUUUGGUACCUCUACGAUGUGACAAUGACAUAAUGAAAAAACCCUCAGAAACUUCAAGUUUGUCAGCAACUCAUGCAGCACCUUGUCGGAUAUAAGGAGAGAGUUCCCACUAGAUCCAAUACGCACCAAAAUUAAACUUCUUAAUACCUUUCAUAUCAUGAUAUGCCCUCAAGCAUUUUGAUGUAACAAACAGCGACCAAAUGAAUGAUGCAUACCGAGCUCUCUCCAGAGAUGCAUAGUCUUCAUUAAUUGCCGGUUGAGACUCCCCAGAGCUAAAGCAUAUCCCACCCUCAAUUGACUUUGCUAGAUCAUUCAAAAGAUCAUGCAUUGAAAAUUUAGAUGUGUCAACACUUGAUUUUUGAAGAAAUGAUCUUGAUACUAAUUCAUCGAAGUAAUUCCAUCCUAAUUCCAACUUAUUUUUCUUUGUUUUUUGUCCAUCUAAAAAUCCCUCCGCUAUCCAUAAGAGUACUAGCUCAUCCCUCUCAAUUUCGUAAUCCUUAGGAAAUACUGCACAAUAAGAAAAGCAUCUCUUCAAAUAGGAAGGAAGAUGGACGUAGCUCAAUUUCAAAAUAGGGAGAACCUCAUCAUUCUUUGUCGUUGGAAGAUCCCAUAUUAUGUUAUUUAAGGUAUCUUCCCAUUCACUGGGAUUCAUUUUAUGACGUAGGACACCGCCAAACAUCUUCGCUGCCAAAGGUAAACCUUUACAUCUUUUAGCUAUUUUCUUGCCUAUUGUUUCAAAUUCCGGGUGGCUCUUAAAAUUUGUUGCUUCAAGAGCAUGAAAGGCCAAUAAGCUUGUACAAUCAUUGAGGGACAAUUCCUUCAAAGGAAUUGGCGGUGCUUUUGUUACUGAAACAACAGCAUGGUUGCGAGUCGUAAUAAUAAUCUUGCUUCCCCUAGCACCCACUACAAAUGGCUUUAAGAGAUCGGUCCAUUUUUCGUACUUCUCAUUCCAGAUAUCGUCUAGAACCACAAGAAACUUCUUUCCGAAAAGAUUGUCCCUCAACUUCACUUGAAACUCGUUUAGAUCUUUGCCCUCACAUGGCAACCUAGUGAUUGACCGUAAAAUAGUCUUUGUUAUGUCGAGAACAUCAAAAACAUCUGAAACACAAACCCAUGCUCUCAUCUCAAAACAUCUAUUCACUCUUGCAUCAUUAUACAGCUGUUGAGCCAAGGCAGUCUUUCCAAUACCGCCCAUCCCAACUAUGGGGACUAUGCUUAGCGUGGCAUUAGAAUUUUUGACCUCAUUGAUCAAUAGUUCGAGUAUUUGUUCUACAUCCUCCUCCCUACCAAAAAAUUGAGGCUCUGAUAGAGAAGUGGUUAUCCUUUUACUGGUGUAGUUGGAUUUGUCCACAACAUUCUCUCUCAAGUUUAAAUGAACCUUUCCAGUGACAAUCUCUUCCAACCGGUCAUUGAUCUCUUGUACCUUGGUUUCAGACAUGAGUGAGGGUGGUCGGCCAAAUACAGAGAACUUCCAUUUCCCCAAACCUUUGCUUGUGCUGGAUUCUGCCUCUGACUCAACUUGAGCAGCUUUGAUCUCAAACUCAUCGAGCAAGUCUUCCAUGUCAUAGGCCAAGUCCUUAACCUUGUCCAGCCACAGCUUCACUUGAUGGUUACCACUAAGUUCCUUGUCCUCCGCAUCAGCCAACACUGCAUUGAUUAUGACUAGCUUCUCCUUCCACACCNNNNNNNNNNNNNNNNNNNNNNNNNNNNNNNNNNNNNNNNNNNNNNNNNNNNNNNNNNNNNNNNNNNNNNNNNNNNNNNNNNNNNNNNNNNNNNNNNNNNNNNNNNNNNNNNNNNNNNNNNNNNNNNNNNNNNNNNNNNNNNNNNNNNNNNNNNNNNNNNNNNNNNNNNNNNNNNNNNNNNNNNNNNNNNNNNNNNNNNNNNNNNNNNNNNNNNNNNNNNNNNNNNNNNNNNNNNNNNNNNNNNNNNNNNNNNNNNNNNNNNNNNNNNNNNNNNNNNNNNNNNNNNNNNNNNNNNNNNNNNNNNNNNNNNNNNNNNNNNNNNNNNNNNNNNNNNNNNNNNNNNNNNNNNGCUUAUAAAAUGCUUUAAUUCCUAUAAACUUCUUCUGUGAGAGGAAAAUCUGUUCCAGUUUUCCAAAAGUUUAUGAAAACCACUUUUGGACAGAAGUUAGGUAUCGACAAAUUUUAACAAUUAAAUUAUUAUUUUUGAGCUAUUUAUACUUAUUUUGGUAACUCGAGAUUUCUUAAUUUUUGGAUGUGUGGAGCUGUCAGAUGAUCCUUUCCAGGUGUGGCUGUAACCGCCUGCUUAUUGCUCACGUUUCGCCUCUUUGUAGAGGAAUGGUUUUGGAGGUUUUUUUUUUUGGUCUGAGAAUGGUUUUGGAGGUUCAAACACUAGGAUUUGUACCUGACUUCUGCUCCUUUUCAGAUUUUCCAUUAUGUUCCUCUUUUGGAUCGAACCGAGUCAAUUCCUCUUAUUUUGCUCCAUGAAAGUAAUUUAAGAAUGUGUUUGUUUCGAAAAAAACUUAACAUUUGAAUAACAUUUUCCGAAAAAUGACUAGUUAUGUCAUUCAAAAAAAUUGACCAACACACAGUAUUUUUCAUUGCCAACAUCAAUUUAUACCUGCAUAUUUCGGUAAAUGAUGAAAAAUUUUGAUUUGUUCAUUUUUGUGAGCAAUAAAUCAAUCAGUUUUUUGAAAAUAUUUUCUAAAUCUUGAGUUUUCAAUUAAAGAAAUGUAUUUUAAUUAUUUGAAGUUUUUAUGUUCCUGCAUUAUACAAGGUAAAGAGUAGAAAUCAAAUCAGUUCAACUUAAAGAGUCAUGGAGAGAUUUUAUAAGAGUCCAAACAAAUUUCAUGAUUCAAUAGAUUCAAUGGUUUUUGUUAUUCAUGCUUGCCAUGACUUCAGUUUACCCAAGGAUGAGAGUAAUCAUGGAGGCUAUGCAUAUGCUAAAACAAUUAUUGGAUCAUGUUCACCAAUAGUGACCAAAGAUGGGUCCCAUACAUGCUAAAACAAAAUGAUGGAACUGGGAGGGCCCUGCAUUAUUAGCCUUUUUUGUCACCAUGUCCAAUCAAGCAUAGCAUUAAGGACUUGACCUUCCGAGGAUCCCCCCCCCCCCCAGGAAAAAAAAUAAAAAAUCUCUAAGGCACUCAUUUGUAUUUCGUCCGCCAAUUAUUAAAGGCUGAAAUGAAAAUGUUCACCAUUUUUCAUUUGAAAAAGAAGAGCAUUUAAGACUCAUAUGGUAUUACUGAUUGUUAUCAUAAAAUUAGUCCAUCGUAUUUCAAAUACUUUUAUUAAUCAUGUUUUAGAUAUUGUAGGUUCUAAGAAUUAACAAAAGUCGAGAAUCUAAAUAUGCAUGAGCGGAACAUGUAAUGUGUGUGGACAUGAAAUGACUUAAGGGGUUUAACCAACUAGAGAGAGAGAGAGAGCCAUUGUAUUACGUUAAGUUGAAGUCUAGCAUGUAUCGCAUGAUCUUGCGUUUUUAAAGCAAAAUUCGUUUUCUUUCUUUAGUGUGGAGAAUAAGCCAACUGGUAUGGAAUAUUUUCUAAACAAUGGAUCUAGAUUGUCUAUAAUUUUAGAAUUUUGAGGACAAUUCAACCUACUUAUUAUGAGUGAGCUCCAAAUUAGUAUUAUGCCUUUCCUCCAAUAUUACUUGAAGCGAAUUAGUAUCAUUCGUCGAUGUAUAUACUAAUUAUAAUGAUUCCAGAGAAUUCACAAUUGUGCACCAUCAGAAGCCCGUACACAAACUAUUUGAAAUUUGAACUUAGACCGUGUAAUGAAUUAGAAGCUGUACAUCUAUUGUCGCAAGAAUUCUGCAGCUAGCCAUCUCGUGGCAACAUAUGUCUCCCCGGCAGCUCCUCGUGCAUCAUGGGGCCAAAAUCACAUCAAAGGAUCGUUGCUUUGUCAAAGUUAUUGAAACCUAAAUUAUUGAGGAUAUAACCAACAAUAGCAUCUUAUUGUAUGUUAUGUAUCCACAAGUCAUCAAAGAAAGUUAGGUUUGUCUGUUUGGUAAGGAAAACAAAAUCACAUGCUCUGGGUCAAAAGAAAUGGUCCCCUAUUUUAAUCAACAUCCGAAAGUCUUGAUUUGAAGAAAAAGGAUAACAAUAUAACUCAAUGGCAUAAUGUGCGUCAAAACAUAUGCUCUCCAAUCUAACUCAAACUUCUUGGCGUAUUAGAAAGACCAAGACUUUGUUGGGACUCAUCAACCUUUUUGUGUGAAAAAUUACGCAAAAGGGAAAAAGUGAUAGUGGGAAAGAAAGUUUAAUCAAUUCCAGGAAGAUCAAGACUUUGCAAGAUGCAAAUUGGCUUUAUUGCUUCACUUUUCACAUCCCUCUUCUUCCAUCCUUAUGUGAAUGUCUCUUUUUACAUUACUAGUGGAAUUCCACACGUUAGAUGCCUUGCUUAAGAUUAACAAUACUAGAAAUAAGUAUAAGAAGGAAGCCAAGAAGGGACUCGAAAAGAUCUCUCCAAUGAUCAUGGGUUUACCAAUCAUUGAGAGAACAACAAGGGUUCUAGGUUCCAAGUUCCAAAACAUAUAGGGUAGGUUCCAGGUUCUAAAAAAUGAGAAACCUACUCUAACAAAAACCAUUGAGUCCUAAAACUUUAGACAAAGACAAGGACCAAGGCUUUUAAAAAAAUAAAAAUAAUAAUAAGUGCACGGGAAGUCUGAAAACUUAUCAUAAAAGUAUAAUUGAAUUAUAAAAUUUUCAAAAGAAACAAUUGAGUCCUAAAACUUGUCACAAAAGUAUAAUCCAGUCCUAAAACUUUCAAAGUGCAAUUAAUUCCUAAAAUAUGUCUUGAAAGUGGAAUUAAAUCUUAAAAAUUUCGAAAAUUGCAAUCAACGAAGAACUUAAUUGGACUAAUUUGACAUGUUUUAGGACUUCAUUACAUUUUUUGAAAGUUUUAAGACUUAAUUGUACUUCAUAACAAGCUUUAAGACUUAAUUGUGCUUUUUGAAAGUUUUAAAACUUAAUUACAUUUUCAUGAUAAGUUUUAGAAUUUAUAAUGCACUUAUCCCUUUUUUUGCAUCCGUACAUUCUUAGUAACCUUAUAAUUUCAAUGUCUUUAUUUAAUGUGUUAUUGGUGAAUAUGCAAUCAAUGUAGGCUUUUAUGUGGUAGUUAGAGUGCUUAAGAUUCGCAACCAAACAAGCAACAAUGAUCUACUGAAGGGUGUUAUGUUAGUGGUUAAUGAUCGAGAACCGUUUGAUAGGAGAAUCGUGGUCCUUUGCACGAUUUUCCUAUUCAUAAGUGUGAUGCCUAGAGUAUAUCUAGUACUUUCUUAGUUGGUGAUGCCUAACCCUUUUUCUUGUCUAGCAAUGAAUGAAGUUGACCACAAUUAAUAGGACUGACAAAUAAGCAUUUUUGUACAACUUGCACCGACUGAAAUAAAAGUUGACAAUCCACCUAACAAUGGCAUCUUACUUUCUAUUAUAGAUCCUCAAGUCAUCAAAGACAACUAACUUUGAUUGUUCAAUAAGAAGAAUAGAAACACAUGCUUUGGGCCAAACAAGAAAAAGAAUCGGCUACACCAAUGAAUCCAUGAAUCAACUUGCUUAAUUUUUACUUUGGAAAUAGUACAUGAUUCACAAAUCAUCAACUAAUCCAUCAAGCAAGUUGCUUUGGGCUAGCUUUUUUUGUUCAAAGGACCAUGAUUUUCCUAUCAAGUGAUUCACUAUCAUCAACAACUACUUCAGCACCCUUCAACAGAUAAUUGCCGCCCACUUUAUUGCAAAUUUCUAGCACUAUAGCUGCCAUGUAAAAGCCUAUACUAAAAAAAAAAGCAACAACAACAACAAAACAUUGUAAGUUAUAAAAUUUUUAUGAAGACAUGCAUGCCCUCUAAGUUGGUCAUGUGAAGAAAGGGCAAAGUACCAAAAAAGUCCUAAACCUAUGACAUUUGUACCAAUUUAAUCCUAAACCUUUCAUUUAAGCCAAUUUAGUAUUAAAUCUUUUUAUAUUGGUACUAAUUCAGUCCUUCUAGCCAAUUUUGGCUGGUUGGCUAGCUAUGACAUGGACAUUUGCGGGCUGGCAAACGCUGAUGUGACAAUUUUCAAAAUAUUUUUUUGAUUUAUUUUUUUUCCUUUUUUUUCCUUUUCCUUUUCUUUUUCCUCUUCUUCCUCUCAACCUUCUUCUCCCGCAAUGCCUAGCAAGCCUUUGAUAGCUCGCCAGUGGUGUGGUGAGGGCUUCAUGGCCCUCGCCUAGUGGCUGGCAAGCCGCCAGAGGCUCGUUGGCCACUACAGGAGAAGAAGGCCGAGAGGAAUAAGAGGAAAAGGAAAAGGAAAAGGAAAAAAAUAAUUAAAAAUUCGAAAUAAAUUAUUUAAAAAUUGCCACAUUAGCGUUUGCCAACCGGCAAACAUUUAUGUUAGCAUUGGUCAGCCAAAAUUGGCCGAAAAGGAUUGAAUUAGUACCAAUGUAAAAAGGUUUAGGACUAAAUUGGUUCAACUAGAAGGUUUAGGACUGAAUUGGUAUAAGUGUCACAGGUUUAUGACUUUUUGGUACUUUUUCCUGUGAAGAAAUAUCACCUAUUAUACUAUAUUUUGGAUGACCACAAGAAAAGGUCCUCUUUUUCAAACGAUAGCCAAAGGUCUUGAUCCGGAAAAAAAAAAAAAAAAGGAGAACAAUUGAUUUAUCUAACUCAAGGACACAAUGUGCAUUAAAACGUGGUCUCUUUGGUCUAAACUCAAAUUGCUUGGCGUGAUAGUAUACUCAUAAAGUACUUUUCAUCAAGAAGACCAAAACUUUACUAGAAGGACACAAAUUGUCUUUGUUGCUUCACUUUCUACACCCCUCCUCUUCCAUCCCUAUGUGAAUGGGUCUUUUUCCAUUACUAGUAGAAUUUCCAUGUCUUGCUUAAAAUUAACAAGUCUAGAAAUUAGUAUAAGAAGGAAACCAAGAAGGAACCCAAAAAGAUCUCUCCAAUGGUCAUGGGACAAUCAAUCAAGAGAAAAACAAGGGUUGUGGUGAAGCUAAGUGAUAACAUGCUAAUGGAUAGAGAAAACUAUAAAGUUCAGGAAGACCAAGACUUUCAGCUACCAAAAAGAUUAAACAAAGUCCAAGACUUUUAUGCACAUCAGAGGUUAGAGAAAUCAAUAUAAAUACUUUUUGUCCACAAGUGCUUGUUUCACAAUAUCUAAGGAAUAUUCCCAGAGACUUUGCUAGAUAUCAUGUGCUUUUUUGUCCGGAAAGUGAAGCAAAAGUAGAUAAUUUCCACCCAUUACAUGUGAAUCAAAAGUGAAGCACUUUAAGAAAAAGUGAAAAUAAAUUUAAAAAAAAAACAAAAAAAUUUAGAUAGACCAAGACUUUGCACAAAAAAGUGAUGAUUGGAGAGAAACUUCAAUCAAUUCCAUGAAGACCAACACCUUGCAAAAAAAAAGUGAUGAUGGGAGAAAAACUUGAAUCAUUGCAAGGAAGACCAAGACUUUGUAGGAUGCGAAUUGGCUCUGUUCCUUCAGUUUUCACAUUUCUCAUUCAUUGCUAUGUGAUUGUCUCUUUUUCUGUUACUAGUAAAAUUUUCCCGUGUUACGUGUAAAAUUAACAAUACUAUAAUUUCGGUUAACUAUUAUCAAGUUUAAUCAUAUUGGGCUUUUCAUUGAUUAAUAUCUAUUAUACUUGUCUAUUAGAAUUAUCUCUAGGUUUUCAUUCAUGUUUAUGAGUUUAAGCUUGAUAAAAUAAAAAAGGCUAGAAGAAAAGCGAGCAAGAAAAACAAAAGCAAAAAGCUUAAUAGGAGACAAAAAAAAAAAAAAAAUCAGGAAUAGGGCGACAUAGAGAGCGCCACCCAUCCAAUGGCCGUCGGCAUGCUGCUGGAGUCAGCACCUCCGUAGGAUGGCUCAUUCCAACCCUAUCGCCACUUCCGCAGUUGGCACUACUAUUUGGACUAACCAUCACAACCAAUUAUCCUAAAUUACCUAUGACUAAACUAACUUAAUCUAUAGAUAUAUUCACAAUGAAAAGGAUGAAUUCUAGUAUUUACAAUUUCUCGUGUGCAACCUGAAAGGUUGGGUUCAACAUGGAGUCACAUCAUUCAAUAGUGGAUGUGAGCUGGGCUCACAUGCUUUGGGUUCAUUGAAAAAUUUUCUGCCAUCCUGUGUCUAAGACUUUAACAAGAGUUGCUACCAUAACAAAGGAGUCUUUUUUUUUCUUUUUUUUUUUAAGUAAUAAAAAAAAGGACUUAGGCUCAAGAGACCCAAUUCAAAUUUAUUACGCCCAUGAAGCUGCAUCUUGGAAUCCCGACAGACUAACUUCCUUCAGCUUAGUUAUAAUCGUUGUAGUUGGCUUAUCAGAGAAAAUAGGAAUAAUUAAGAGGGAGAAAGAAGAAUCAAGAAAGCUGGAAAAGGGAAGUGAACCGCACUCUAGAUAGAGAAAGGACUCGGUUCAAGUUCGCAGGGGACAUCUUAACACGUUGAAUUAUGUCGUACAAGAAGUGCUCGAUAAGAAUUCAAAGACCAAAAUUUUCUAGAUUAAGCUGUAAUUUCAAUUCCAUUUGGAUUUUAGGUUGCUAGGCUUAUUAUAGAGAUUGUUGAGCUAUGAAAUCAUGUAGUAAAUAAACUUUGGUAUUUCAUGAAACUUUGGGACUUUAAGGAAGUCAACUUAGGAUUCCAACUUGGUUGGGGUGAAAUUUUGAAAUUUAUUGUGCACUAUCCGAACCAUAUUCAAACUAUUUUGUUUGGCACUGGUUUUCGCCAGUUUAUGGAACUCUUUUGGGUAUAAGGCUAGUUCUCAUUUUAAGCACGUUGAUUUAGUUUUCCAAUGACUUUGGACCUACUUGAAACAGAUGUCAGUAGAGUUCGUUUUUUAAAUUUUGCACAUGAGCAGCCACAAUACAACAGACAAAAGUAAUGGUCUACUUUAGGCGAGCCUUUAUUCGUGCAUCAGAGUUAUUUGUUACCAAAUAAGCUUAGUUUAGUCGAGUCUAAGUUAAGGUACUUAUCUACUUGAUUUUGAUAUCCGUUUCUCACUUAUUUGAUUGGAUUUCCCAUUCUUUCAUUUGAGGUAACUCUCGUAGUUUAGUUUGCAUCUUCAGGUGAAUGGUGCUUGUUUCUUCCAUGAUUUUUUAACACGUCUUGAUAAUAACAUAAAUUAGAUAUUUAUAAGUAUUAGAAGAUGUAUUGCAUACUAUUUAGAGCAUAUUUGUUGCAUGAAACGGGAUAAGACGAUGACUAUCCUUUUAGUAGUUGAUUAUGCAUAGCAAAGUAUCUCUUGAAAUAGUUUGGAAGUUAAUUAUUUGUGAAAUGAUUUUAGAAAUACUAUGUGAAAUGUGUCCUUCUUGAUGGAGGAACUGUGAAAGGAUACAAACAUCAAUUUGUAAAACUGGUUUUUAAAAUGAAGUCUGAAGUUUUUUUACGUUAGUUACUUGUACAAAUUUGUGCAGAGCAACCAAGUGUUUGUGCCCCUGUUAUCCUAAUAUGUGGCCCAAAUACUGUUGCUACUUUUGGGUGAUCUUUGAGCGUGAUCUAUUAAAAUUUGAGCACUUUUUGGACAAUUUUGGGACGCAUGUGGCAAGAGAGCAUGUGGAACUGAGGCCCUUUCCAAAUCUGGUAACCAACUUUACUUCAGUAGCUGCUGGAUUGGCAAAUUUUGUGACUCUGAAACCUUUCUAAAAUUAAAGUAAAGUUUCCUGCCACAUGUAUUUGAAUCUUCCCUAAUCUUGUCAUAUAAUAAGAAACUGAGACUUUCAAUUGCAAGUUUAAAUGCACUGAUCACUGCAGUUUUAUUAAAUUCACCUCUGGUUGGAAGAUGGAUCAAUUGAUACAAGUUCAUGUUGUGAUUUUGGCUCUCUUUUACGUCAUUUAUUUCUAACAUAAGAUGCUUUUACUCAAUACCCAGCAUUUCAUAUCACUUGCUUUAUUACACAUUCUGAUCACAAUAAUCUGUAUAGAGUGAUUCAAUAAACCGUAGAAAGGCACAUCAAUUUUUUGCACAAUUUAUUUCUGAAUCUUUUAGCUUUGAAUCCUUCAAGUUUGCAUUUCCACGACUUUCAGGGGAGAGAGAGCUUUUUGUUGUGGAUGGUGCCGGUACCGGGGGAUUCUCUUGGAAGAGAGAAUGGGGAAAUCAGAACCCGAUGUAUGCGGCUUUUCUUGAAGACAAAUAGUCGUCACUUUGCUUCGAAACGGAGUCUUGAAGAAACCAGCUUCACAAGUAUAUAUUAAUCAUUCUUAAGAUAAAUCUUUAGACGCAGAGAGAGAGAGAGAUUGAACUUUCUAUUGUAUAAAAUAGGUUGAAGUUGGGGUUUCUUGAUAUUCUAGGCUGCUUCUGCUACUGCUGCCACUGUUAGCAGUCUCUUUUGUUUUCAUUUUCCUUCUCUUGUUAUUUUUGCUGUACAACUUAUUACAAUGAGGUGAUGAUUUAAGAGAUUGUUAAUCUGGUGCUUUGGUCCAGAAAGCCUUUGUUUCCUUGCAAACUGGUGCUCAUACUGAUGAUGUGGUGACUAAUUCUUUCGCAUUAUCUCCCACAAAUUAGCUUAUUGCUGAUAAUAAUCUUGGGAAUAUAAGGAUGGAUUACAUCUUUUGAUGCAGAUUCUUGCCAUUAUUUAGUCAAGCCUAUUAGGCUGUGAUCCUCCUGAGUUAUGAUCAUACCCACUUUGACAAGUUUUUGUCCCCUCCAAUCAAUUUAGUAUCAGUCUAAUGCACGUUGCAUGAUCUUGAUGAUAGCUCAUUGAUGCUAGAAUGAUUGUUUAUUGAGGAAAAAAAUAAUGGGACUUGCUUUGGGGAAUAUUAUUAUACGGCCAGAAUCUUGAGGGACCCUUUUUUUGUAAUUAUAUCAGGUAGUCACGUAUUAAGAACACCACCAUUUGGUAAUAUAUAAUUUCAGUUCCACUUUGGAUUGUGAUGCUAUGGAUUCUUCGAAUUAUUCAUAGCUGACAAUAAAAUAUUAUUCAGUUUCAAAAAACUAGUUAAAUCUGACCAAGUUGAUUGUCAUAGAGGAAAUAUCCUAAAAGCUCAUGUUUAGUUUAACACUGGGAAUAAAGUGACUGCAUGUUUAGACAAAGUGAAAAAGAAAGUAUAUUCUUUAAUAAGAUUGGUGAUUAUCAUUUUAGGAAAAAAAAUUGGGGAGUAAGGUAUUCUAACGAUUGUAGAAUUAGGCAAAUUUAGAUCAUUACAUUCUUGCUUCUUUUUUUGUUUUUAAUAAUCCAAAACACGGUUGUGGAAAUCCAACUACCUAAAGAUCCAUUGGACAUCUUGCAAACCCCAUGAAUUGGUUUAACACAAAAGUUUGACCUAUGCAUGUGACUCUUAUCCAAAGCAGCUAGACGUAGUUGAUGGGAUUUGAAUGAAUGUCAUCUAAUUUCUUGAGUUAGAAAUUUCCCAAUGCCCCAAUUAAUUGUAUUUAUCCUAUGUAGAUCAUUAAAUUCACAAAUAUGGUAUCCUCUGUAGGGGCACAAAAUAUCAACUCUAAAUUUAAAGAAUCUCUCUUCGGAUUAGUUCAUAAUUAUAUGCUAGAGGCAAGGCACGUGCUGUGCACGUGUAUGAAGCAAGAUUGCUACGUUUUAAAAAGUAUUGAUGGUUGUUAAAGGAAGAGGAUCAAGAGGGUGUCUUAUGAGAAGAAUAUGUAUUAUAGUCCCUCAAAUGACUUGCUACCUUCAUUUUUAGGUGAUCUAAUUGGUAUUUCAGUACCUUGAAAAUAAGUUGUGUCAUUUCGGACUUUUGCUCAGAUUUAUUUACCCAAAAGAAAAGUGAAAAUUUUGUUUUCCUAUCCAAUUGUUUCGGGGAAAUAUUUUCAGUGAAAAUACUUUGUUCAGAUCUAAUUCUACCGUGCUUGCGAUCCACAUAUCGUACCAUACAACAUCCUAAUCUAUAAAGACAUUAUUCCCAAGGAUUUUGGGCAAUUUGAUGCGUGUUGUGAAAGUUUAAGGUGUGCUGACAUAAAAUAAAUAUUGGAAUGUAUAUGUAUGUAUUGAAAACAAAGUAAAAGCCCCAGGUUUUUUAAUUAAUUUUCUAAAUUUCGCUACUCUCCAUUAUCAUUCAUCCUACAAUAUGAAUCAUGCUGUCAUUUGUAUUGGAGACUUUUCAACUUAAAGAGUAACAUAUAACAUGAGAAGAGCAUAAGAAAAUAAAUAAAAGAAUCUGGAAAGAAAUGAUCAAUUAGGCCUGAAUAAAGAUUAUCUUCCAUGCAUAAAAAACAUCUAUAAGAGUGAUCAGACAAACAAAAUUAUAUGUACACGCACCCGGCAGUAACUAAAAAUGAACAAACAAGACAAAUUGGGAUACUUCACUUUCCUACUCUCAGAAAUUAGUGUCGCUUUCUUUUGAUGAUUUUUUUUUUUCGCUUAAUAUAUAUUAUGAUUAAAUGACAAACGAUAGCCAAUGCAACUCUAAGUACAUCCAGUAUAUCAGGAGACAUCCUCUCUUCAUCCUUUUUUGCUUUAUCUCUGUAGCUAAGCCUCAAUUUCUGUUUCGUUAGGUAACUCUACCCCGGUGAACAACUCUUUUCUGGUGACAAGAACUAAACUCAUCUGAUUCUACGAGAACUGAAGUAUCUUCUCAUAAAUCCCAGAAAUCCCCAUGGAAAAGCGCCACCUUGCCUUGAGGAACAACCGGAGCUCGUCCAUGCUUACAGAUAUUAGAUUUUCAUUGUGACUAACCUGCAAAUCAAGGUGAAAAGAGGACUAUUAGCUGCGAAGAUGAUCCAUCAUUGGUCAAAUGGAAGUAUUUUGGCAAGAAAAUCAAUCUCACCAUCAGAAUUCCUCCUUGGAACAAGACCAGACCUUGAAUGAGCACCUUAACCACAUCCAAACCCUUCAUUUUAUUUUUAUUUCGGUCGGUAUCCAAACCCUUCAUUUGGGGAUAGCAAAAAAUGCAGAGUCAUCCUCUAUCGUUAGGCAAGAAACUAACAAUUUACAAAGAUAACACUUUAGUAGGUCAUCAUAGCAGAACUUAAAGGCCACAUUUAUAAACAAAGAAAUGUCCACAUUAAUUAAGUGCAAAGCCCAAUACUGGUCACAGGCACAGAUAUUUGAACUACUCGAUAGUAUAGAUUACUGUAAUACAAAAACACUGAUCAGGCUUAGCAUAAAUGUUCUAUUCCCAAUAUUUUGCCAGUUGAACAAUUAGAUUGGUUUAUGUUCCACUAUAAGCUUAGAUGUAAGAUGGCAGAGGCUCUUUGUAGCCGUGUUCACUGAUUAGUUCUACUGUAUUUUCAAUGUCAAGACCAGACUCCGAUAAGUUCAAUUGGAUGGGAAGAAGGGGAAAUUAUGCAGAGCCCUUCCCUUUGGGUUUGAAAGGAGAACGGGGCAUUUAGGUCAAAGGGGACAGGAUAUAGAGAGAGGAAGGAGAGAGAGAGAAGGAUUGUAUCUUGAUGCCCUUGUGGAUUUGGGUUUUCAAAAUUUGAUUUUUGGAAUGGACUCUUUUGGGCCUUUCUGGUUGUGCGUUCUUGGUUUUGGACCUCCUAUUCUUUAUUUGGGGAAAGUUUUGUGUAAGUGGGAAAUUGGGGGGUUGGACUAUGUUUGUCCCUCCUUAAAACCUCAUGAUUUCCUCCUUAUUCUCUCUCUUUUUCCUCCUAUAUUAACAAUUAGUGGGGUAGCAUGUACCAUGCAUAAGAUAAUGGCAAAGUUGAUUAAACUUUUUCAGGUCAUGCGAGCCCCACCAGUAGAGCAUAAGGAUGGGCACCGAGCAGGUGCAAGGUCGAGAAUCCCGUUUCCCAUUCCCCAACUCGUGAAGCAGCACUUUGCCCCAAAAAACAUAUUAAAAAUAUAUAAUCAAUCUAAUUAUGAGUUAUUUUAUGAGUCAGAAUGCAGAAAAAAGACUAAAACUUACUGAAUGAUUGGAUGGCUGGUCAAGCAUAACUACGUGAAGUUUCUUGAAAUUAUCUUGGCAAAUGCAACUCUACUUUUCUGACCGCCUAUUUAUAUGGUCAAAGCACCAUGUUAUAUGUGCAAUAACAUCCAAAAAGCCUCGAGAAAAGUACACAGUGAACCACAAUUCAUAUUACAAAUUAACUAACCUCCAAUAGAGCUUCACAAUGUCAUAUGAAAAUUGCUUCAACAAAAAAUUUACAUAUGCAACAGUAGCAGAGAGAGAGGAGAUGUACCGGACAAGAUACACAUUAGUCGAAGCACGAGAUUUCCAGUUACACCAAAGGAACCCAAGUGAGCUUAAAGCUUUUGCUUAGAAACUCCCUGAAGGAAGAAUGCCACAUAAGAAGGUAUUUUCAAAUGAAAUGAUAUAAUGUAUGACGAAAUCAUAUUUCGUGGUAGAGUAAAACACAAAAGCAAACCCAGAGGUCACCAUUGACAAUGCAAAACCAGAGGCAAGCAGCAUAUCAUUACAAUCUCGACCAAACAAGCAUAAGUAUAUUGGCUAAAAAUUUCCAACAAGCUGCAAGCAAUAGUUCCUAAACCCCCAGAGAUCAAGACCUAAACGGAAGGUGGUUUAUGGAAUAUCAAUGCUGUCAUGAAUUGGAGUUGUAUUGAAAGCUUGGAGCCAUAAGCUGCCCUAGAAUUUUAUCCCAGAUUGACUACUUAAUACUGCUAAGGAUCAUCAUCAGCAAAAAGAAGGUUUUGACUCUUAACCAUAAAAAAGAACUGCAUCCUCCUUUCUUUUCAAUCAUGUCACUUUUUUCCACAUAACCAAUCAUGUUUAAGAUAUCGAAAAGAUUACUCUUAUAUACAUCAUAUUUACCAGUGCACCAACUAAAAUUAGUAGCUUCUUCUUCUUCUUUUUUAUUGCAAAAAAUGACACAUAACAUUAACAGCAUUAGUCCUACCUCAAAAGUGUUUGCAAGUGGUCCUUCAAGAAAUUUUGCCAAUACAAAUUACAAUGGCGAAUGAGUUGGGGCACAAGAAAAAGAUUGUUGUGAAGAGAAUAUACAACAAACGCUGAAAAUGCAGAGGACAAUGAUUGCGGAAUGCUAUGAUUCAUCGGGAUUCUAAUGCAAAGCAUAGUGCAUUUGCAUUCACAAUUUGUUUGGGCAUCAAGCAGAGUUCAAGAUAUGGUAUGUUGUCCUACAGUUUAUUGUUCAAUGAAACAGAGCCGAUCCAACCCAAUGAGAACAACCACUCAAAUGUCAGUCUCACCUUCAGUGGCUAGUUUUUGGAAAUUCAUGGGAAACAUUUCCAUCAGAAAAAUAUCAAUUUGUAUCACACAUCAAAUUGAGGAAGCGGAAUUGAAAUCAAAACCAAAAACUUACCUGAAUCCUAGAAAACUGACCAUACAUGGAUUCACUGGAUUCAAACAUCAUCAAUGAGGAUGCUCGGGAUCUCUUGGAUGAGGGGCCAAUAGUCGCCAGUGAAUUUUAAGCAUCAAUCUAUCAGAAUCUCAAACCAUCUAUGUGCAAUUCUCAAAGGGAGGGAGGGAGGAAGGGAGGGAGCCCAUCCUCUGGCAAGCACCUCAACUUCAGGCAAUCGUGAAGGUGUAAAAUUGUGAGAGAGGAAAGAUAGUUGUGAAGAAAGCUUGAUAGUCUUCCCACGUUCCUCAUUUUAAAUAUCCAAAGACAGGUUAGAGAGGAAGGAAAGAGAAGACUACACGCAUCCUCAUCCUCCAAAGGAAACCAUAUCUUCUCUCCUUCCCAUCCCAUGCUGAAGUCAAUUAACAGAAACUUGAGGGAUGUGAGCAUGGGUAAGCCCCACUCUCUCACCAUCUGCUUCGGAUUCUCACACACUAAAAUUGUAAGGUCCAGCAAAUUGAGGCAAAGCUCAUUUGGGGAAGCAUUUGAUAUUUUGGCAAUACAUAAUAUAUAGCAUAUGAAGGGAUAUAAGAUGAUGCCACUGAUUUGGUAGAGACUCUAUCUUCGGACAGUUACAGAGAAAGAAAUAUGACAAGGUGAUGGGAAGGGAAGGGAAGUACUCUAUCUCCAAUGUUGGAUAGUUACUUAUUUUCAAAAGAGUGGAAUGGGAGAGCGUGUUAAGACACUGUGGUCGGCUUCCCAAAUUUAUACAGCUGUCAUAGAAUUCAGCAAUUCUACAGCGAUCUCUUCCAGCAACUCCACUCUCUUGCAAUGCCCAAUAAUAAGUGUCUUGAGAGCAGCAACUUGAGGCAUCGGAUUAUUGCUAGUGGGGUCAUUUGGAGUAAAUUGUUAAUAAUCCCAUGAGUUUUGGGUACUUCUCAAUUAACAAAUCUCUGAGCGUGCGCAUCUUGCUUGGAAGCUUUUCUAAACUCGCACAGUCACUCAAUUCCAUUGUUUCGAGGUUGAAAGGCAACUCUAUCUCUCCUUCUUCUGCCACAAAAGACGUGAAUUUAGGACAACUUUGGAUGGAUAAUUCCUGGUGGCGAGUAAGAUUUUGUGUUUCAUUUCCAUCUUGCCACAAGUAUGUUAGCUUGUCACAGCUUCUUAUAUGAGCUCCUUUAGCUUGACCAAACAGCUCAUAAUCUCAUGAUUAAAGCAAACAAGCUCUGCAAGAUUUUGAACCCUAACAAUGGUUAAAGAAGUUAGGUUGACCAAGCACUUUAAGGUCCCUUUAUUACAAUCCUUAAGGUAUAACUCACAGAGAAAUGGAAGACAAACUGCACUGGUUGAAUUAUUCAAAUCCAGGCACAAAAGGAUUUCAAGUUUUAAGAGACAAUCAAGUUGACAAGGCAAUGUCCCAACCAACGAAGGACAACUCCGGACAACAAGAUGCUAAAGACAGGAUAAUGGUACUUCUUCUUCUAGACCCCCGGCAUAACGAGACCAAUCAUUCCAUCCAACAUCUCUUCAAACUUCAAAGUUGUUAAGGAUGAGAAAGGCCCUUUACCUCCAUAAAAUUCAGAGCCUACCAUUCUUACUGCAUGUAGACCAUUAAGACAUAAUUUCUUAAGUAAAGGUAGUUGUCCAAGUUGGGGUAGUGAUAUAACAUUAGGACAGCCCCGUAAGCACAAAUACACUAGCUUACAAAAGAAUGGACCAUCCAACCAUGACGGGAAUAUUGCACCACCAUAAUAUGAGAUAGUGAGAUUUUCAAGAUCAGUGCGAGGUCACAAAGAGUGAAGCACCUGUGCUUCGUGCUUAUCUUUCCAUAGAUUUCCAAAAUCUUCACUCCAAUGCAAGAACAUGUUGCUAAGGCCGUGCUUUCCAAAAAAAAUUAGCAUCAACAGCAUCUCUAGCUUCUUGCACCUUUUGCAAUUCUGAUAUAGCUAAUUCUCCUUGAUGAUAGGACAAAUUCUUCAACUCCUUUAACUGUAACCCUCUCUUAGUUCCUAUAUCGAAGUUAGGCAAAACAAUAAGAUUUUUCAAAUUACCAAUACCCAAAGGCAUCAUGUUUAGAUUGUGUGUAUCCCUAAUGUCAAGAAACUGUAAGCUCACCAAUUUUGUGAUACCUAGAGGCAACAUAAAAAGCUUUUGACAACCUCCUAAGAUCAAAGCUUGUAUUUACACAAGGCGACAAUUGAAUUAGGUAGUCUUUUGAUGUCUGUGAAUGAGAAAUUGAGAUAUCAAAGAUGUUUUAAAUCACCACCACAAUUCGGUGCCUCUAGGAUGUCACAAUGACAUAAUGAGACCACCCUCAAGUACUUUACUUCUGUUAGCAAGUCAUACGACGCCUCGUUGGAAAUGUGGAACUUGCUGCCCCCUCUAGAUCCAAUAUGAAGUAGCAUUAAACUUCUUAGUACCUUCAUUCAGUAAGAUGCUCUCAAGCAUUUUGAUGUAACAGACCACGACGAGAUGAAUGAUGCAUAAGGAGCUUUCACAAGAGAUGCAUGGUCUUCAUUUCCUUACUAGCUGAGACUCCCCUGAGCUAAAGCAUGUCCCACCUGCAAUUGACUUUGCUAGAUCAUUCGAAAAAUCAUGCAUUGAGAACUUAUAUGCAAUGACACUUGAUUGUUGAAGAAAUGAUCUGGAUACUAACUCAUCGAAGUAAUUCCGUCCUAAUCUCAAGUUAUUCUCCUUUUUAUUUUGUCCAUCUAAAAAGCCCUCCACUAUCCAUAAGAGUACCAGCUCAUCCCUCUCAAUUUCAUAAUCCUUGGGAAACACCGCACAAUAAACAAAACAUCUCUUCAAAUAAGAAGGAAGAUGGACAUGGCUCAAAUUCAAAACUAGGAGAACCUCAUCAUUUUUUCCCAUCAAAAUAUCCCACAUUCUAUUAUUUAAGAUAACUUUCCAUUCAUCGAGAUCCCCUUUAUUAUGCAGGAGACCACCUAACACCUUCACCACCAAGGUGAAACUUUACAUUUUUCAGCUAUUUUCUUGCCUAUAGUUUCAAGAUCAAGGUGCCUCUCAAAAUUUGUUGCUCUAAGAGCAUGAAAGGCUAAUAAGCUUGUACAAUUAUCAAUAGACAACUCCUUCAAAGGAUGGGGCCAAGCUCAUGUUAAGGAAACAACCGAACUAUUGCGAGUUGGGAUGAUGAUCUUGCUUCCCUUAACCCCUGCUUCAAAUGGCUUUAAGAGGGCAGUCCAUUCCCCAUACCCAGACAUCAUCUAAAACCACAAGAAACUUCUUCCCUGAUAGAUUGUCCUUCAACUUAACUUGAAGCUAGUUGAGAUCUUUGUCCUUGCAUGGCAACUCAGUGAUCAACUGCAAAAUAGCCUUUGUCAUGUUGAGAACAUCAAAAACAUCUGAAACAUAAACCCAUGCUCUUCUCUCGAAACAGCUGCUCACAUUGGCAUCACUAUACAGCCGUUAAACCAAGGCCGUCUUUCCAACACUGCCCAUCCCAACUAUGGGGAUUAUGCUCAACAUAGCAUCAGAAUUUUCAGCUUCACCAGUCAAUAAUUUGAGUAUCUCCGCUUCUUCCUUCACCGUGCCAAUGAGUCUCUGAUAGACAAAUGCUAUGGGGCCUUUUGUUGGUGAAGUCAGUUCUACCCACAACAUUCUCUGUCAAGCUUAGAUAAGCCUUCCUGGCAACAAUAUCCUCCAACCUGCCAUCAAUCUUCUAAACCUUAGUUUUAGACACGAGCGAGCUCGGGUUUGGAUUGGAUCUAGAAGAUUUAUGUUGGCUAAAGAAAUAGAACUUCACCUCACCUCCCCUUGUGCUAGAUUCCGCCUCCGAUUUGGCCGGAGCGGCUUUGAUGGCAAACUCAUCAAGCAAGUCUUCCAUGUCAUAGGCCAGGUCUCUAAUAUCGUCCAACCAUAGCUUCACUAGACCAUUACCACUCAAGUGCUUGUCCUCUGCAUCGUCCAGCACUGCAUUGAUUGUGUCCAGCAUCUUCCCCCAUUUAUUGAGCAAGUCGAUGCUGAUUCCGGAGAAGGGCAAUGCUCCUUCCCUUUGCAUAUAGUCUAGUCCCAAAGAAGCUAGCUUCUUGAACAGGACCUAAAGGAAGGCACUCAAAAGGAUCUCCCCAAUGGCCAUGGGUGAAUCCGUCAAUUGUAGAGAACAACACAGGUUAUGGUGAAGCAAAGUGACAAUGAGCUAAUGGAGAGAUAAAGUGGGUGAAUGAGUCACUGUAUAUAACAGCAAGGGUUAUGGUGAAGUGAAGUGAUGGCAAGCAAGACUUUCACCUCCCAAAAACAUUAAACACAGACCAAGACUUCCAAGGAUACACAUCAUGGUUAGAGAAAUCAAGAUAAAAUACUUUUUGCCCAAAAGUGCUCCUCUCUUAAUGUUUAGAGUUUAUCCCCAGAUAUCUAUUUGAAGACAAUGACUUUUUGUUACACAUCUACAGUUAUCAGAGGCAGCUAACUUUGUCUGUUCAANNNNNNNNNNNNNNNNNNNNNNNNNNNNNNNNNNNNNNNNNNNNNNNNNNNNNNNNNNNNNNNNNNNNNNNNNNNNNNNNNNNNNNNNNNNNNNNNNNNNNNNNNNNNNNNNNNNNNNNNNNNNNNNNNNNNNNNNNNNNNNNNNNNNNNNNNNNNNNNNNNNNNNNNNNNNNNNNNNNNNNNNNNNNNNNNNNNNNNNNNNNNNNNNNNNNNNNNNNNNNNNNNNNNNNNNNNNNNNNNNNNNNNNNNNNNNNNNNNNNNNNNNNNNNNNNNNNNNNNNNNNNNNNNUGAGAGGAAAAGCCACCCUCAAGAUUGAGGAGAAUAAUCCAGAUCAUAAAAUCUAAAAUUGCUACUUACCCCUCUCACUAUCGCAGACCAAUUUUCAUCAUCAUCCCUCUCCUCUCCUCUGCAACAUGCGCGAAUGCCACCCUCCCAUUUACCCACCAUCGUCAUCUACCACCAACAUCGAUUACCCAACAGAACCAAAUCGCCAACCCCAUUGAACCAUCCUUCUUCAAAACCAUUCCCAACCGCAGUAACAAGCACCACCACAGACUCGAUCACCACGACCACCACCGCCACCAUUCACAGCCAGCAAAAAUUCAGGGGGAGAUAAAAAGAAAAAAGAAAGCCAGGGAGGAGGAAAUUUCACCAAUCGGAUGGCCAAGUAAUAAAAAAUGUGGGUCGGAGGGACUUCUCGAGCUCUUCCGCACCUGGUCGCUACCAUUUGACUUUGUAUUCUGUGACUACCAUGGCUGCAGUGUGAAUGAACGGUGUUUAGCUUUUCACGGUGCCGGGCGGAGAAGAAGGGAUAAAAGAAAGUGGUAAGAAGAAGAAAAAGGAGAACGUUCGACCAAAAAAGUGAAGUAUUUGGCCCAAACCACUUUCCCUGCCCAUAUUAGAGAAUGAGAUCUAAUUUUCUAUCCAAAUAGCAUAAAUUAAUUUUUUUUUUCAUUUUCAAAUUUCUACCAAACGCCAAAAAAGAAUCAUUUACUCAAAAAUUAAUUCUAAGAAACCAGUUUUUUUUUUUUUUGGUCAGUAAGAAACCAAUUGAAAAUACUAAAUUUUCAGUUAAUCAAGUAGAGCCCUUGUUAGUUGAUAAUUGCUUUCUUCAAGUAAUAUCAAUGUUAUGCUUAGAUGCGUAUAUAAGAAAAAUAAACUAAAGACUACUUUAUACCACUCGAAAUAAUAAUUAGGCCCUAGAAUUUUUUUUUAAUUCCCUUUUUUCGCCAAUUGCGAUCAUCAAUACAAAAAUUUCAUAUCAAUCACAAUCAUUUUGGACUCUUUAAGUUCCACCUAAAGCUUGUUAGUGAGAAGAAAAUGAGAAUAAAUAAAGAAUCUGUGAUGAGAAAAUCAAGUUGCCCCCGUUAAAAAUUAUUUUGUCAUGUAAAUAAACAAUUAUAAGAGUAAUUGGACAAACAAAUUGUAUUCAUACUCACGUGAAAGGAACCAAAAACCUACGAACAAGACAUAUCGGGGUACAAAUGAGUGACCCUUCGAUCAUUUUGUUUUUUUGUUUUUUCUUGAAUGGCCCUUUUGAUUGUAUAAUGUAGAAUUAUGGGAGACUAUAGAUCCCCAUUAUUGUUGACCUAAUGGUAUAACAUGAUCAUUUCAUAAAUGCCAGGUUACAAAGAUAACCCCCUAACGAGGAUAGUGAUAUGUAUCUUAUCUUGCCUGCCACAGGACCUCACUUGAUUUGGUGUGCUUCUUGUAACUGGACUUGUCUAUGCAAGAUAAAUCUGUAGCAAGUGGUGUUGGAUGACAACCUUCUCACAAUUCUAUAUCGGAAUACCUUAUGAUAGGGGUGAGCUUUUUUAUGAUAACUCAAUAGAGCAAUAACGCAUUUAAAAAAAAAAAAAACAUGGAAAUAAAGCAUGGUCACCUUGAAUGCUACUCUCCACCCUCCCUUUACAACAAAGAAAAAGAAAAUGUGGGACUGGGAUCGAUAAAACCAUUGGUAUGAGAUUAUGUGGAAAAUUUAAAUGGAUUAUAAUCUUCAGGCUUACUUCGAAUUUAGCUGUUAGAUUCACCAACUCGAGAGUCCCUGUUUUCGCAUCUUUAAAGUAGCUGCUGUUUUUUUUUUUUUUUUUAAAAGAGCUGCUGUUAUUAGAGGUAAGAGAGGUUCUUAGAUUGGCUUUGAACACCAUCAUACAGAUUAAUCUUAAUUAGAGCACGUUACCGCCAUUGAUGUAAGUAAUCAAACAGUGGAGAGAAAUUUUCUCAUGAGAUCCAAACUCAAUCAAUUUCAAUGAGUGUGAUUUCUUGGAUGAGAUACCAAUAAUCUCCAGUUAGUUUUCAAGUAUUGAUAUUUUGGAAUCUUACUCAAUGUGGAAUACUUAAUGGGGGAGGUAGGGGAGCCAUCCUCUCACUUAGUUCUCUAUCUUAAUUUAUGAUGGAGGUAUCAUAUUUAAGUUUUCGAAAUCUGAACUUAUCUCACGAACAUUUUGAACUUGCCUAAAGUCUCUCGGUUUCAUGAGUUUCAAGCUACCCUAUGCUACCGCAUUGAAAAUGGAUGGUAAAAUGGAUUUUCAAUUAAGUAAGCUAGAACUCAAAGUUUUGUUUUAUUCUAAAUAAUUUCACCACUGGUUUUGAGCAUCUACAAAAAGAGAAGAUAUAUAUCCUUUUAUAUUUGUGGGCAGUUGGGACACAUAAAUUAAACUAGAUUUGCAUUAUACUCUCUUUUUUUUUUUACUAGAUUUGCAUGGAUUCAAAAUCAUAAAUGCUAAGAUUAUAUCUCGAAUUUGACCUCAAAAAAGAAAUCUAAUUCAAAUAAACUUUCUGAUUUGAGUGGAUUUAAUAAAAGGGAAAUAAUUUUUAUGUACAAAGUGGGUCUUCUUCAUGAAAAGUAUCCAACACUAGCUUUUCCUACGUUCAAUUAAGUAUUACGUUCCUAAGGAAUUACAAAGAGUACUGAAGCAAAUUAAUUUUGUGGUAAGAUCUGUGCAUAACAUCACCAGAGGAGGAGGAGGACACUUCACUCCAAUUCCAACCAACCAAAACCCCCACGAAACUGGGAGACAACAAAAUAAAAUAAAAACAGAAGCCAUCGGAAUUUUCGAGGAAAUUAAAGUUGAAACCUUUUAUCUCUAUUUUAAUGGCAAUCCUUACAACCCUCUCCUUCUCCGAACUGCCCUCCCCGAAGAUCCCACCUUUCUCCUCCAUCUCCCACUCCCCUGCUCUCCUCAUCUCGUCCCGCAUUCGCAGGAACUCGUCGAACCUCGUCGCCCGGCACCGGAGACGAGCUCGCCGGAAGAACCCGCCGGAGCAGCCGCGGCCGCCGCCGGGUAACGACAUGUCCACCGCCGUCCAGAUGCCGGCGGCCCCUCGCAGGUGGGACGAGGAUCAUGACCGGUUGCUGAAUUCUCUGGGUAAAUUUCAUUGCGUCGAUUUUUUCUUACCCAAUGAUUGUUUUCGCCAAUUUACCCGAAUCAUGGACGCAUUUGUUUUAUCCUCGAGGAAUUUAUGGUGUUUGAUUGAGCGUAGGUGGAAGAUGAUGCUUGAAUUUCGGAUGUUUGUUUGGUAACCAAUUAUGGGUUUUGCUUAUUUGGGUUUAUAUUGGUCAGAAGGACUUGUGAGUCUGCUUGAGGUGACGGUGGUGAUGAAGUUGUUGUGGGUUUAACUGGUUAAGUGGUGAUGGGUAUAAUUUAAUUCAUGCCGCAGUAGAUUGGUCCUCUUGGCCGAUCGUCUUUGCUCGUACUCAUCUCUGAUUUAAGUUGAGCUGAUCUGUCACCUGUCCGGUCUAGUUGAAGUUGCACAAGUAGAGAUAUGAAUGUUCUUCGAGCAUUGUAAAAUACCGUUCGAGUGAAGUGAAACCUGCUGAAAUAUUCAGUUGAUGGGCAAAUAUGUGCUGCUUCUUGGUUGUGUGGAGUAAAUGCAAGCGGAUCAUCUCAACUGCUCAAUCUUUUCGAACAUGAAAAAUGUGUGGGCCUGUGAAGUGAUGGAGCUUCACAACUUACAUCGGAAGUGGACUCCUCUGUGAAGGGUCACUGACCUGAAGUGGCUUUUUUCUCUGUUAUUCAUUUUGGCAGCUGUCGAAUUCUAGUCAGGAACAUGAUUUAGCUUGUUACGAUCAUUUCUCGAACAUUAUCCAUAAAACCGAUGCUGCUUCCCUAAUGCCACUACUGCUCUGAUGCCGUUUUUCCUUUUAUCUGUUUUCGUUGAUAAUCCAGGGGCAGGAAAUGGCAAUACGUUGACAGAAAACAAUGACAGAGAAACAAGCACUUCCAGUAAAAAUGUUCUUCGCAAGGAAAAAAGCUAUGCAAGUUCAAUAAGUUUUUUGGGGUCGACUUGUCCCCAGACAAUAUUGCAGUUGCGAUGGUCUAUUUUGUUCAAGGUGUCUUGGGCCUUUCAAGACUCGGCUGCAUUUUUAUUCGAAAGAUGAUUGACAUCUAGAUCGAUCCUUCAGAGGUAUGUCAUUGUUUUUGAAGGAUUUUUAAUGAAAAAUCGGAUCUCCUUUGAGAGCAUUCAAUCUGUAUGUUCCAGCAGUCUGAAGAUAAAAACUCAGUGCCCUUUUCCUCUGAUAGUUGUUAUGCCUCUGUACUUUCCUUAAUACUUGAGAAGAUUCUCUUGUAUCUAUUUUUCAUUUCUAGGGGAAUUAUUCACGAACUAGAUGGUCGUUGCUGCAACUCCGUUCCACUUUCUGGUUACCGAAGAAGAUCAUUACUUGGUUUUAUCGGGGCUUCUGGCAGCACUUUCAUCGAGUUUACAAUGGCCGCCUUUGCUGGUAUCAAAAGUACAGUGAAGCUUUCUGCAUACUGCUUGAAUCUGUAAGAGUGGAUUUCCCGUGGCCACAUGAUCAACAGACGCAGCGGCAGACAAACUACAACCAUUAUAUACUUUGUAAUCCAUUGAGAUGUUCAGUUGUAAAAUGGCAUACACACGGGAAACAUCUCGCUGGUAGGAUUUAGCAGAGAAAAGUAAUUAAACAAACCCAACACCAUAUCAAUGAGCUAAAUAUUAUCGGUCAUGUAUAAGCUGGUUGCAGCAAAUCCAAGCGCAGCUUCUAUAAAGCGUUUGAUCAGCACAACAUGUUGAGAUUUGACAAAAGUAAGUCGACAAACAUACUAUAAAAUGUCUCAGAUCAAGAAAAUCAGAUAUGAAAAUCAAAUAUGCAUGUCAAUACGGUACAUGUAUGUGAACGAGAUCAUCACAAAGCAACGUAGCAAGUUCAAAACAGUAACACAGGCUCAGUCAUGAUUGAUUUUUACCCAGGCAGUGGUUUGUACGUAGAACACCAGGAAACAGAGCAUAUGUGAUUCGAUUGGAUAGAGGAUGAUUACCUGUGGCUAUUCUAUUCAUGAUCGGACCUUUGUAAGGUGAUCGUGGAAGCAGCUUUGUGAUCUGGAAUCGUCAAGAGAGACAUGCUGACUGCAGUUCGAGCACUUCAGCAAUGAUGACCGAGAACAGGGGCGAACAGAGCUUCGGAUGGCGACGACCAGUGUGUGCCAACGGUGUCCAGAGGGCGAUGGUGAGGGAAAGUCGAUAAGGAAGCCACUGGAGAUUCAGAAAAGGGCCGAGAAUCAAUGCCGUUGCUUGAAUUGAAAAAUGAAAUCCAGAGAAUGAAAGAGAACUUAUCUUCAAUAUUGUAGCAGUAACCGAAUGAUGAAGAGCUCGAAGCGAAGAAUCCGAGUUCUAUCUUAGUUUCAGUCACGACUAUUCUCCUCCGUCGGAGAACGAAAGUGAUUGAAACCGAAGGUGGAGGCAGUGACAAAAACGAACGAUAAUGAAGUCGUCAAGGGAGGCAUUUGGCUACGAUUGGCACCAGUUUAAAUUGAGAAACUUCAACUGAAUAAAGUAAAUUCAAGACGAAUUGAGACCAGAACCGCAGAGCCAUAGGCGGGACUCAUAAAGCAUUUCGCCAUGGAAGGAACUGGAAGGGUUACGUCUGAAGGCAGAAGAAGCCGAUGCGAUAUUCCUAGUUGAGAAUUUCCUGCUUGGCUGCACAUUGUUUUUGUGCUAUUACUUUGUAUGCUUAUGAUACAAAAUACUUUAUUCAGGUCUAAUUCUAUCGGGCUCACGAUCCACAUAUCGUAUCAUACAACAUUCUAAAUGUAUAAAGACACCAUUCCAAAGGAGUUUGGGUAAAAUGAUGCCUAUUGCGAAAGUUAACGGUGUAAUGAUAUAAAAUAAAUUUCAAGGAGCCAAUCAAUGGGAAAGACUAAUUUUCAAUGGACAAUCUAUACUUCCUCCUCAUAUUUUUUUUUUCCAGAUAAGAGAAGAGAAUUUUUUAUCAUAUCAUAGAAAAUGCGAGGAAGUUGGCAUUUUUUUUUUUCAUCUUGGUGCUAGAUGAGAAUUUCUUGCUUCAGUUAAUAACCAACUCCAAAAUUAUUCAGUCACAAAAAUAAAAUAUAAAAUAUGGAUUGAAAAAGAAAGUAAAAGCCCCAGAUUUUUCUUUAAUUCCCUGGCUUUCGCUAAUUGCCAUCAUUAUCAACCAACACUGAUGGUUUUAUUUAUUAAUUAAUGUGAUUGGCCUAAGUUAGCCCGUUCGCCUAUGUUGGGCCUAAAAGCCUGGCUCACAAGAUUAGAGCCCAUGGAUAGAGGGAUAUGUUGAAAGGUUGUAACUUUUGGGAGAAUGUCUUUUAUCGAAGGGACACAUUCUUUGGAGAUGACGUAUUUAAGGGGGAAAAGAGAGGGAGAAACGCACCUAGAAAAAAACAAUAACAGAAAGAGAUGACACUCACUUCCCUUCAAGGCGAAUUGACGUCAUCAUAUCAAACGGUAUCAGUUUUUCUUCCUCAUAUUAGCAUCGGUGUUUAAUCUGUGACUAACAAGGUACGUUCGAUUAUGUGAUGUGCCUUAAGAUCGGUGAUACAUGUGUUUUUCCCGGACUCGUCUUCCGCACUUGUUUUAGGGGUUCAAUUUAGUGUCGAAUUCGGUUUUUGGGAAUCCGAUAUUCCCGACAAACACAAUUUGAAUAAUGCCGUCAUUUGUAUCGGAGACUCUUCAACAAGAAGAACAGCAUAAGGCGCAAGAUGAACAUAAGAAAAAUUAAAAAAUCCGAAGAGGAACAAUUAAUUAAAAUUAUCUUUCAUGCAUAACAAAGAACUAUGAGAGUGAUCAGACAAACAAAAUUAUAUGUAACGGUAAUAGAAAGGGAGGAGAUAUGCUAGACAGGGUAUGCAUUGGUUGAACCACAAAAUUUCUAGUUACACCAAAGGAGCCCAAAUCAAAAUGGGCGNNNNNNNNNNNNNNNNNNNNNNNNNNNNNNNNNNNNNNNNNNNNNNNNNNNNNNNNNNNNNNNNNNNNNNNNNNNNNNNNNNNNNNNNNNNNNNNNNNNNAACUUUCAACCCAAAAAAUAAAAUAAAAAUGCUGUCAAACUAAUCAAUCAAUAGAAAAUCUGUGUACUAACUAAAAUGAAAAUCAUUUGAGUGGUGAUCCCAACAAUGUAAAUCAAGAAAACACCAUUAUAUUGUACCAGCAAAUUAGAGGGACUACUCUUUUUUCCCCCUCAAAUAGUUCAUCUUACAAUAUUGUGCCAAACUUUCUGAAUAUAUCAUAAUUACGAUUGCUAGUUGCUAGUUUCUUGGUUUUGCAUUUUUUGAAAUAUGUGGUGGAUGAGGGACCGCAGCAAAACGACACCGUCACACCUCUUUUCCCGUGUAGAUAUUCCUCCAUACUAUUUUCGUACUCAACUUUUUAAAUUAAAAAAAUUAUUUUCUUUUUUAUUUGAUUUUCUGAUUGAUUAAAGUAAGUUUCCUUUGACUGGCUUUUUUUAUCAUACUAAAUAGCAAAAAAUGAGACCAUUUUUUCUUUUAUUAAAAUGUUUCUCUCAAAACAAACAGAAUACUAGAAGAAGACCUUUACAAAGAUCAAUCAUAUCUGUUCAAAAAAAAAAAAGAAGAUCAAUCAUAAAAUAAUGCGGGGUGACAUCACUCUGGAUAUUCAUUAUAUUGCAAAUCAUCAUUUUAUAACCAAAACUUUUUUAAGAGUUCAUUCUCAUUUAUACAAACUCGAUCGAAAUUACUCUGUCAAGGAUCAUGAUGAAAUUCCGAGCCAAAAAUGUCAAAGUCUCUAUAAAAGAAUAAUCAAGCUCCAUACACGGAGAAAAGAUCUUCUGUAACAAUUAAGAGAAUCAAGCACCAUACACGGAGAAAUGAUUUUCUGUAACAAUUAAGCCUCUUCAAGAACCUCUUCAUCUUCACAUGUCAGAUAUUUUCAGACCUGAAAAUAAUUGUUCGCAUGUUAGAUCUUGUCCAGUAGACCGUGAGUGUCCUAUUCCCGAAAGACAACUAAAAAAUUAAAUGGUGGGCAAAAUUUACCCCUCAAUUCGCAAAUGAAGAAGCCGUUAUGGUUUGCUGCAGAACCUACUCGGUCAAAGCCACAGACUACCAGAACAACCUCAAUUUUUCUUCCACAAAUGUCAACAUCAAGCUCAAUUCGCAGCAGCUCCAGAUCAAAAGUCUCUGCUAAAAAGUAGUUCGUGAGACAGUGUCUCAAGCAGGGUCUGACGAUGAAGGAGUAGAAAAACAGUUUCGCUCCUCAACAUGGAAAUGAUUGUCAUGGCAAAAACCUCAUAUAGCAGGCAAUAACUUUAUAAUGUAACAGAAGUGUCCAAUAGUAGAACUCAUGUAACAGUAUUCCUCAAUAUUGUAUAUCAUGGAAGCCAUAGCAGCAUAUUUCCUUUUUGGAUCAAAUUCCCUUAAUUUGCCUGAAUUCAAGGUAUAUCUUCAACAUGUGAGCUCACGAGAUUGAAACCAUUUGCAAUGGUAGUGCGUGUAUCUUGUCACGUGUGAAUGGUACUGGAUCUUCAGCACCUC
rnacentral:lncRNA from 1 species